UGUGUUUGUUCCUGUGGAAACAAAUGUCAUGCACAGACUCGUUUAAAGUACUACCUGUCUUCUUAUUUUUUUGUUGUUGGUGCCUCUUUUUCGAGCAAGCGGAUGAGGUUGGUUGCGCUCCGUAGUUUCACCUGCGGCCCGCCCUCAGCAGUGACGUCACUGAGUCAAAUCUCCAGUCAGAACAACAUUAAUGUUGUUGCAUUGCUCUGUUACUACACUUGUCAUGUUAUUCCAGAUUUGACCAUUCCUUUCCUUUAGUGACUCAUUUCAAUUUUCACAACCUAAUCUUCCCCGCCCAAUUAAUCAACUGCUUAAGUACGUUGCCCCUAAUCAGCCCAGUAUAGGUACAUUUCCAUAAAACAUCCUCUAGAAUCUAGAUUAUUUUGUUCUAUAUACGCUGUGGCAUUCCAUUCUUGAUUUAUUGAUUUAGCCUGUCUGAACCUGCCUGCCUAAAUUCCUGCCACCGUCUCAGAUUGCUGCUUCUUUCUUUCAUAUGUGGUGCCUUUGGUUUAAGAUUACGAGGUCUCUGCAGUAUCUGAGGUUGACCAUAAGAGGGCAGCAUUGCAUCAGUGUACAACAAGCCCAGAAGAGUAAUAUCAGUUUUUGAUGUGGAAGCAUCUUAGAUACAAAGGAGUUCAAGACAAGACCUACAAUGGGUAGACACAAUAACAUGAACACUUGAUUAUAAAAUGUUCCUCAAGCACGAACAACCAGCCAGCACG
ensembl:lncRNA